CUACAACUUAACUAAAUUCCUUGGCUAGCACUAGUAGUUUCCUGGUGGCGUCCUUAGGAUUUUCUGUGUAUAGUAUCAUGUCAUCUGCAGUGACAGUUUUACUACUUCUCCUGGUCCAACUGCUACUUUUGUCACUACAUGUUCACAUCCUUCCAAUCAUUAAUUUUUGAGCCAGGCUUCUGUGACUUGGGGAAGGCCUGUAAGACUACAGUUUUCUACAAACAAGAGAUCAUUGGACUAUUCUGGGUCCCUUGCAAUUUCAUAUGCAUUUCAAAGUCAGCUUGCAAUUUCUACAAGAUAUAAGCUGAGAUUUCUGAUGGGAGUUGCUUUGAAUCAGCAGAUAAAUUCUUUCUAAUAGGCUUACCAGGUGGCACAGUGGUAAAGAAUCCACCUGACAAUGCCGGAGAU
ensembl:lncRNA